rnacentral:misc_RNA from 1 species
ACAUAUGUUACUUUUGUUAUUCCCGUGUGUGUAAACAAGCGCCCAAGAGCAAGAGAGAGAGAAUCUACAUAGGAAUGAAUGUCUACAGGCAUUUAGGCAUCUAUCUAUGUAUACAAUAAACAAACUUUCAUUUAUUAACAUUAUCCCAUGCAAAUAGAAAUUUUAGUAUCGAACCAUUACAUUUUCAACAAGUUCUUUCAAUCACAAAUACCUGAUCAUAAG